GACGUAGGGGGCCAGCGUUGUUCGGAAUUACUGGGUGUAAAGGGUUCGUAGGCGGUGUGGCAAGUCGGGAGUGAAAUCUCUGGGCUCAACCCAGAGUCUGCUUCCGAAACUGCUGUGCUUGAGUGUGGGAGAGGCGCGUGGAAUUGCAGGUGUAGCGGUGAAAUGCGUAGAUAUCAGGAAGAACACCCGUGGCGAAGGCGGCUCUCUGGGACGGUACUGACGCUGAGACGCGAAAGCGUGGGGAGCGAACAGG
rnacentral:rRNA from 1 species